UACGUAGGGUGCGAGCGUUAAUCGGAAUUACUGGGCGUAAAGCGUGCGCAGGCGGUUCGUUAAGUUCGUUGUGAAAGCCCCGGGCUCAACCUGGGAACUGCAAUGGAAACUGGCGGGCUUGAAUGCGGCAGAGGGGGGUGGAAUUCCGCGUGUAGCAGUGAAAUGCGUAGAGAUGCGGAGGAACACCGAUGGCGAAGGCAGCCCCCUGGGCUAACACUGACGCUCAUGCACGAAAGCGUGGGGAGCAAACAGG
rnacentral:rRNA from 1 species